GUUAAUAAUUGGGUAAAAACCUAUGUAAAUUACCCUUUUCUUUUCCUUUUUACUUUAUGGACAUAAAAGGAUUGGGUAGAAUGGAAAGGCCCUGACGGUGUUGGGGGGGCCAAGGAGGCACCGCAGCCAGGCAGCUCAGCCGCUUGGUUUCACGGGCUUUGUUUUAAAGAGCACAUUUUACAAGAAAUUCAGCAUCGUUUUUGAGGCAAAGUUUUGGACGUAUGUAAGCUAUGAAAUUGAGAUAUUAUUAAUAAAUUAACAUUUGGAACUUGGAAAUGUAUUGAUAAAUAAAAACAAUAACAAAAGGUACAUUUAGGGUUU